rnacentral:rRNA from 1 species
CCUACGGGAGGCUGCAGUGGGGAAUAUUGGACAAUGGGCGAAAGCCUGAUCCAGCCAUGCCGCGUGUGUGAAGAAGGCCUUCGGGUUGUAAAGCACUUUCAGUGGGGAAGAAAGCCUUGGGGCUAAUACCCUCGAGGAAGGACAUCACCCACAGAAGAAGCACCGGCUAACUCCGUGCCAGCAGCCGCGGUAAUACGGAGGGUGCGAGCGUUAAUCGGAAUUACUGGGCGUAAAGCGCGCGUAGGCGGUCUGAUAAGCCGGUUGUGAAAGCCCCGGGCUCAACCUGGGAACGGCAUCCGGAACUGUCAGGCUAGAGUGCAGUAGAGGAAGGUAGAAUUCCCGGUGUAGCGGUGAAAUGCGUAGCGAUCGGGAGGAAUACCAGUGGCGAAGGCGGCCUUCUGAACUGACACUGACGCUGAGGUGCGAAAGCGUGGGUAGCAAACAGGAUUAGAUACCCCGGUAGUC